rnacentral:rRNA from 1 species
GGCCUACGGGACGCAGCAGUAGGGAAUAUUGCACAAUGGGGGGAACCCUGAUGCAGCGACGCCGCGUGAGUGAAGAAGUAUUUCGGUAUGUAAAGCUCUAUCAGCAGGGAAGAAAAUGACGGUACCUGAAGAAGAAGCCCCGGCUAACUACGUGCCAGCAGCCGCGGUAAUACGUAGGGGGCAAGCGUUAUCCGGAUUUACUGGGUGUAAAGGGGGCGCAGACGGCGAUGCAAGCCAGGAGUGAAAGCCCGGGGCCCAACCCCGGGACUGCUCUUGGACCUGCGUGGCUGGAGUGGAGGAG